rnacentral:misc_RNA from 1 species
GUUGAACAAAACAGGCCCUCAACGUCAGUAUCAUUAAGGUCUCUUUGUUUCAGCUUUCAUGGUGAACGCGAACCUCCAAUGGGCAGCCUAAUCAAUAAGCUAGCCAAAAAAACGACGCCAUCUCUGAGAAUCAUAGCAACAGCCAUCAAAACUCCGCUGCUAUUCAAUCCCGUCCUUCACUCGGCCAAACCAGAUUUCAUAAACAACUCAAUUCCUCCCUGCGACUCCCCUGCCAUAGAGAACAACCCAAUACUUCAAAGCCCUACUAAACCCCUGCAGUUUUAUUACCCCAAUUUCCCAUUUGGGUAUUGCUUAAACCCCUUUUCCAUGACUGGGUCUGAUCAAUUGAAAGCUAUUGGGGCUGAUUCUACUGGAAACGAUGCUGAUGAUGCGAGGAUCAUGUGGGCUGAUAGUGUGAAGAAGAAGAGGAAGAAGAAGAUGAAUAAACACAAGUACAAGAAGCUCAGGAAGCGUCUCCGACGAAAGGCAUAAUAGGCAUCUUGGUAAAAAUUCCAUGUCUUGCUGGUUCAUUGCCCUUGUUCCUUUCUAUAGUUUUUGAAUCAGAAUAUGAAUAUUCGCUUGGAGUACUAAUUUUUUUAGUAACUUUUGAGAUAGAGCAUCAUACAUUCAGAUUAUCAAACGAAUCAAAAUGGAAUUAUUUCUUGCUGAUUGUGGUGGAAAUUACUGGAAUUUUGUUCUUUUAGUUACCAAAUUGUACGUCACCUGACCAGAAGGUAGCUCUUUUCCCUUUUCAUUCCAUCUCUAAAUGCUUACAACUAGAUGCACACUUAGCCAAUUUUCACUGUGAUACCACAUGUGUAGUUUCCCACAAUUAACAGUGGCAAAGCUAUAAAUUUGAUGUAGGGUGGAAAAAGCUCUCGCACUUUCUUAAGCUUAGCGUAGGAAGAAAGUUUCUAUAAGACUAAAGUAAAUAGACUAAAAUAUGUCAUUCGUGAUGGAGAGUUAUUAUUGCAGUUGGAUGGAAUUAAGAAGCGUAGGAAUUUUCCAUUUUAUCAUUUAGAUUUUUUUUCUUAACAGAAUUAUAUUGCUUAGAUUCACCUCUCAUUAAACUGGGGGAAAAAAAGGUUCUAUAAAGAAAAAAGGGAAAAAAAUUCAACACAAAAUAUUUCUGACAAGAUGCUAGAGAAUAUUACAAGGGAUUAACACAUCUGUUUUGAUGUGGAGUUAGCUCUAUAUGACCAGAUGGAAAAUGGCUAGUUGAGAUGGGAGAGAUUGACUUUUGCAACAAAUAUCAAUCACUCUGUCUGCUACUUUGCCUUGUUGAAUGUGUCGGGAGGAUGAGGGUAAGAACAAGGAAAAUAUAGCUUAGAAUCAAAUGUUCCUAGAUUGAGAGGAUCUUGAUAAGUGUUUUCAAGGCGAAAGGCGAUAGGGUACCCUAUAGCCCUAGGUGAGAGGCGAGGCAAGGACCUUUUUGAAGUAAGGCGCCACAACCUAAUAAGUAACAAGACAAUACAAGUAGAUAAAAAAGAGCAUGAUUUUUAAUUGUAGCUAAAUUUCACAACCUACAUAUGCUCACCAAAUUAACAAAUUGACAACAAAAUAAUAAUACCCAUAUAAAUUAACAACACCCAUACAGCAGAAUUCAAGAAGAGAGAAGGAGGAGGAGAGAAAAAGAAGAACAAAAAAAGUAAAAAGAAAAAAGAAAGUGUGAAUGGUACUACUGUGUUUUAGAGACGACCAGAAUAGAGGAGAAGAGGAAAAGAAAAAGAGGAAAGA